AGGUCAUUUAGAAGAGAACUUAGGAGACCAAAUCCAGGAGUUCUUAAUGCUGUGGCCUAAGAUUUAAGUUCUUUAUAGGAUGUAAUAGAUACUCAAUAGUGCUAUGUUGUUCUGAGGAGAUAUAAGA